CGCGUCGAUCCGGCAAGAUGGUAUCGAUGUUCGUUUCGUUGACCGAUCCGAAUAAUGCUAAUGUGUAGAUGCGAUGACAAAAAUUAAGCACACAGAACAUGAAGAAACAACUCUAGGCAAUCGAUACAAAAAGAGAACUCAAGUCAAAUGAGCUAUUACUAAAGCACGAUGCAACUGUUGUUUCAACUAAAAAGUGAGCUGUUGGUAUUCGCGAAGAAAACUCGGCUAAAAAUAAGCGAAUCGACCAGUUUCGAAUGGAAUCUGAAGAGGUUACAUCGAAAUGCACGGUAACAUAAUGGUGUACAACCAAACUGACUGAAGUUCCCAUUCCAAGAUAAACAUGGCAAAACCAUUGUUGAUUACAAAUUUACAGGACAAUUAUUUACAAAAUGACGCCAUUACAGCAGCAAGCCUGAUUUCGAUUGGAAUUUGACUGGUUUUUGCAUUGUUGCCGCCAUCGUCGUCGUCUGAUUACUCGUCUCUCAGCCAUCUGACUACUGGAAAUUGUAUCACAUUGAAGAAUUGAACAGAAUUUCUAAGCAAAAGCACUGGAUUGCAACCAAACAUCGACGAAAACAUCGGCUCAACCGAGAAAAUGAACAAAAAUAACGUGACCCAACUGAUUCCAUUAAAAAGACGAGAUUGUCUUGCUUACAUCUUGAAACAACUAUUUACUCG